rnacentral:lncRNA from 1 species
ACAGGUCAUUGGAGCUUUAUUUCAGAUGUGGGUGAAAUAAGGAGAUGGGUACCUUUUAUGUGCUUAUAUUCAAUCAAUAGGAAUAGACUCUUUUGGGACUUUCAACUGAUCACACGCAAAAGCUUAAGCUCUGAAGGGGCACAGAGACCACACAAGCUCUGAAACAUCAGUCUGAUUACAAGAGUAGUUUGAAGUCUAAUGCUCCGUGGAAGGGUGUUAUACAUUUCCUUUUAUUUUUAUUCCCUCCAUGAAGUAGUUUAUGUUUCACUUCAAUGGCUGUAAUGGGAUUCUGUGUUUUCACUCUUCUGGUGAACUAUACAAUUCUCCAAGAAACACGGUAAAAUGAAAUGAGGUUUAUUGGCAUGUGCUUUUAACAUGCAAAUAAAAACUCUAUGAUUUAAUGUCUUUCAACUUUUUUCUUAGUAAUCCUGAUUUUUUCUGUCAUGGGGGAAUUAAUAAUUUUCUGCAUGGUUAAAAUGAAUAAAGGCAGAGUGUGGAAUAAGUUUUAGCUAGUGUUUUUGUGGUCCUUUCAACUGAAGAAGGAUAUGGAAAAAUAACAAUAAGCAUAUAAUUUUCCACAAUGUGUUAUUUUAGUGAUUAGCACCUUGAGAACUGUCUCAUUUCUAGAAAAGAAAGAUUCUGAGUGAUGUUGUCUGCAGCAUAACUUUGAUGCACAACAUGACUCUGCCUAUUUCAUCCUGUUAUUCCUUUCCCUUUAGUCUAAAAUCUUGCUGCUAAGCCCUAAAUCCUGCUUGGAAAUUCUUGCCAAGCCAUCAUUUGGCAUUAUUACCUGCUCAGGCGAGGUUUUUCACCUGAGGAUAGCACUUUCUAUACAGAUUAAUAAAUUUUACAUCUAUACAUUAUGUAUAAUAAUGUAUUAAUAAAUCUAUACAUCAUUUUAAAUAAGAGCCAUAUUUAAGCCAACAUUAAAGAGUAAGGUUCUUGGUUUACUAAUAAAAAACAACAAAGCUGAGUUCUCUCAUAGCACUGACUUUCACUCACUGGACCCCACAUGCAAUUAUAACAGAAGAUACUGACUAGUCUUUUAGUGAAGUCUGCACACAAACACAGGGUACCCGAGAUGUCAGAUGUCAUUACUAUAAAAAUGUCUAGAUUUAGUGAAUUAACCCACUGUAACCAAACAUAAAUUUCUUUUCAAAGUUCCACUAUUUCCACCAAAAUUUUCUUACUUGGUGCUAGAGUCUUUAUAGAUAUCUUAUUUUAGCAGUCAGCAUGACUUAGAAACAAGGGUUAUUAUUAAUUUUUAUAUUGAUUGGCAAAUUAAAGUGACUCAAUCAGAGGCAAAGUAACGAAUCUGGGAUUCAAAUAUUAGCUGGUCUGAUUCCAAAACUGAUGACUUUUUUUUCUCACCAUACCAUAUGCAUACCAUUAUGAUUGAACCCUGAGGGAUUUCAGAUAACUGUUGUAAUUAUUAUUAUUAGAGAAAUAUUUGGUCUAAAAAUAGAUGGCAACAAAAAAAUUAAGACAUUAUCUCUGUCUUUUAGAAGCUAAUAGUCUGAUAGAAAAAGGGUAGUUGAAACAC